AUUUCUGGUGCCAAGUAGUUUUUUAAACUGCAUCAUUCACCUUAAUCAACAAUCUUGGCUCCAGAUAUUUUGAUCAUUCCAAAACUCUAGAUCUACCUCCAGUGAUAAAUGUUUAGUAAGAUUAGGAAUAUUUAGAGGAUAGGUAGGUGGUAAGCUGUGAAGGGCAUCUCCCUAAUGGAGUUCCAAUGCUGCCUUGAGACAGCCUCACAGACUAAGUGUGUGGUCCUAGGUUGAUGGCUUUAAAUGAAAAAGCACACAUUUGGUCUUUAGACUUUAGUAUAUUUAUUUAAAAAUCAGUUGCUUUACUGUGGAGUCAUAACUUGUGUACCUUUGGCUUAGAAAUGCAUCUCCUCCAGAGUCUUUGAGUGCUCAGAAAGCUGCCAUGCUUUAAAGCACAUAGGAUCACCUAGCCCUAAAAUUUCUGGCAUCAGAGAGGGAUGGUCUCAAUAGAGUCUAUGAAGUUGAACCACUUGGCAACAUGAACUAAAUUAUCUGUUGCCAAUCACUACCUUGAGAAAAGGGUCCCCGCUCGCUCACACUUUUCCUACUAUUGUGUAUAUGUAAAUGAUAUUUUACGUAGUGACACAGCAGCCCUUGUUUGCCAGUUGUUUAUAAAGGGUUUCUAAGUAUUUUUAUGUAAAUUAAUUCUUUAUGCUUGUGUUAGUAACUUUUUGAUUGCAAGUGGUAGAACUCCAGCUGGUUUGAGAAAGAGGGGAAUGUUUUGGAAGGUUAUAGGUUUAUCUUAUAUUACCUAAAUUCAGGUGGGGGAGCUAUGUGGCUAGACUUAGGGACAACAGGAUCUAGACAUUUAAGUGCCCUCAGAGCACCUGCUCUCUCCAGCCCUCAAACGUGUUUCUUUCUGACUGUUGGUUUCGCUCUCCACUGUUGUAGAGCGAUGUCUUCCGUGUGGCUGAGAACACAUGGCUGAUGAUGCCAGGCCUUGUAUCUCAUAGCUCCUGCCAUUAGUUUUAUCAGCUGUCACUUCUCAGCUGUAGUUCAGUCAAGCCCACAGACAGGCACACCUCUAGAUCCAUCAGUAGUGACCAAACGUCUCAUGCAAGAACAUGGCAGUCCCCACUAGGUAGCAGUGGGGAGAGGUUCUCAAGACAAGGGAGGUUUGCAGAAGAAAAUAUGAUAGCAGUCCAUCACAAUUUCCAACCAGAAAUAGAAGAGCCCUAAGCACAGAGGUGGUAGUAUGUUGAAUAGAAUGUUUUAAGGGCUCAAUGCGUGUUCAAGGAUGGCUGCUAUCCAGAAAACUUUUAGGGCUUGAAAAAUACAGCUGUUCCAACUAUAGAAUUGGUUAGAGCAAAUCUCCCACAUUUCCUUGACCUCACGACAUAAGUUAUCUGUGGUGACACUGCAGUUAAGCAUGUGGGCUCUGGAGCCAGACACCCUGAGUUGAAAUCCUCCUAUCUGGCUCUGUGCCCAUGGGCAAGUUACAUAUCCCCUGUAUCUCAAUUUCCUCAUCUGUUAAAUGGAGUUAGUACCUUCAUCAGAGGCAUAUCUAAAGACUCAAUGAGGUUUUAAUACCUGUACCUGACAAAUGUAAUGAGUUAGAUGUUGUUAUUCUUCUCCUUACAGUUACAUAAUUGGAAACAGAAACUACAGGAAAAACGUCUGUGUGUCUGCAUAUGCUGUUCUUUCUGCUGGGAUGGCUUUUCUCCUACUUUCCUGACAUGCCAAUCUCUAACAAAGCCAGAGCUCCGGCUUCGUUCUUCUGGUUGCUUAAAGCACACGAAAGGCAGAAAACACAGACCUACUGCUGUGGGCUGUGGGGUUGCUGAUGCUGCUCUUCCUGUGUCCCGGGGGCAACUUUGAGAGAGGUGCCAUAUGAGAUGGAUGUGGGCACAACUUGGAAUUGUUUCUGGUUUCAGCUUGAGUCCCUUGUCCAUGAACACAGAGGACAUAAUACCUGUGUGGAGAGGAUCUGAAGGCAUGAGAUCUGGAAGUGCAUGUCUGGGAGCCCUAGUGUUCAUUGUUGGCAAACCUUUAUUUUUCCACCCCACAAACAGGAGCAAUGAUUGAGGACCCAAGCAGCAGAAUAUUAUCUCCUGAAAAACACAGGUUCCAAUUUUUGACUGGUUCAAAUUUAAUCCUCUGAAGCUGCAUGGCAUCUUUCAGAUUGCUGUAGAGUGCCUAACAGGCAGGCUCUUUGGGCAGGAGACCUGGAGUCUUGAAAUUUCAGAAGAGGGUAUGCUGAGAUCCAGGCCUCCAUCCUUCUGUGGUAAUGUUCCUCCCUGUAUAUUGCAACACUCUUGCAACAGUCCUCUAGAAAUGUCUCCUUUAGGCAACUCUGGUUUAGAGCUUUCUCAUGUUUGUGGUUUUCUUUGGAAUCCUGUACUUAGGCCACUUUGGGAUGCUUAUUGUCUUGUAUACAGGCAACUCAUUUUUCUCUUGAAUAUUAUUAUCAUCUAUUAGAGUGGGAUUAGAUAUUUCCAGCUCUGAUGUCCUUUGCCUGGGACCUGCCAAUUUACUGACUAGGUUCCAACAUGUAACUGAA